rnacentral:rRNA from 1 species
AAUGGGCGCAAGCCUGAUCCAGCCAUGCCGCGUGCAGGAUGAAGGCCUUCGGGUUGUAAACUGCUUUUGUACGGAACGAAAAGACUCCUUCUAAUAAAGGGGGUCCAUGACGGUACCGUAAGAAUAAGCACCGGCUAACUACGUGCCAGCAGCCGCGGUAAUACGUAGGGUGCGAGCGUUAAUCGGAAUUACUGGGCGUAAAGCGUGCGCAGGCGGUUAUAUAAGACAGAUGUGAAAUCCCCGGGCUCAACCUGGGAACUGCAUUUGUGACUGUAUAGCUAGAGUACGGUAGAGGGGGAUGGAAUUCCGCGUGUAGCAGUGAAAUGCGUAGAUAUGCGGAGGAACACCGAUGGCGAAGGCAAUCCCCCUGGACCUGUACUGACGCUCAUGCACGAAAGCGUGGGGAGCAAACAGGAUUAGAUACCCUGGUAGUCCACGCCCUAAACGAUGUCAACUGGUUGUUGGGUCUUCACUGACUCAGUAACGAAGCUAACGCGUGAAGUUGACCGCCUGGGGAGUACGGCCGCAAGGUUGAAACUCAAAUGAAUUGACGG